UACGGGAGGCAGCAGUGGGGAAUAUUGCACAAUGGGCGCAAGCCUGAUGCAGCCAUGCCGCGUGUAUGAAGAAGGCCUUCGGGUUGUAAAGUACUUUCAGUCGUGAGGAAGGUGUUAAGGUUAAUAACCUUAGCAAUUGACGUUAGCGACAGAAGAAGCACCGGCUAACUCCGUGCCAGCAGCCGCGGUAAUACGGAGGGUGCGAGCGUUAAUCGGAAUUACUGGGCGUAAAGGGCACGCAGGCGGUUAAUUAAGUUGGAUGUGAAAUCCCCGGGCUUAACCUGGGAAUGGCAUUCAAGACUGGUUAGCUAGAGUCUUGUAGAGGGGGUAGAAUUCCAUGUGUAGCGGUGAAAUGCGUAGAGAUGUGGAGGAAUACCGGUGGCGAAGGCGGCCCCUGGGACAAGACUGACGCUCAUGUGCGAAAGCGUGGGGAGCAAACGAGGGAUUAGAUA
rnacentral:rRNA from 1 species